UACGUAGGGCGCAAGCGUUAUCCGGAAUUAUUGGGCGUAAAGAGCUCGUAGGCGGUUUGUCGCGUCUGCCGUGAAAACCUAAGGCUCAACCUUGGGCUUGCAGUGGGUACGGGCAGACUAGAGUGCGGUAGGGGUGACUGGAAUUCCUGGUGUAGCGGGUGGAAUGCGCAGAUAUCAGGAGGAACACCGAUGGCGAAGGCAGGUCACUGGGCCGCAACUGACGCUGAGGAGCGAAAGCAUGGGGAGCGAACAGG
rnacentral:rRNA from 1 species